UACCAGCACCCCGAGCGGUCGGGACGUUUAUUGGGCCUAAAGCAUCCGUAGCCGGUUCUACAAGUCUUCCGUUAAAUCCAGCUGCUUAACAGAUGGGCUGCGGAAGAUACUAUGGAGCUAGGAGGCGGGAGAGGCAAGCGGUACUCGAUGGGUAGGGGUAAAAUCCGUUGAUCCAUUGAAGACCACCAGUGGCGAAGGCGGCUUGCCAGAACGCGCUCGACGGUGAGGGAUGAAAGCUGGGGGAGCAAACCGG
rnacentral:rRNA from 1 species